AACAAGUAUUUUUUACAUUUUGGAAUUGAGAUAUGAGAGAAAUUCCCACACUGCACCACAGUUGAGGUAGUGGACAACCAAGUUCAGUCUACACACAUUCCACUUGGCUGUUGCUUAAAAGGUCUUGUGAUGUAACAACAAAGUAAACUUCAGUUGAAGCACCUUUAUGAGAGGCAAUGACACAUGAAUCGGACCCCACUGAAACCAGUAAUAGGGAUAAAUGGACAUGCUGUUAGGGUAUAAGACAGCCAAAAAAUUUUCUCUCAGGAUAGACAUUACAGCCCUAAUAACACACUUGAUUCUUUGCUUUAGCCUAAUAAGGAAAGCAGAUUUCCAAUCAGUGAGAGGAGUUCCCCUCCGCCAGCGAUUUGGGAAACUGUUGGGAGUUGUGGUGGUAGCAGAACACAGGAGCAAGCCACUCAGGAGCUAUAGGCCCGAUUCUAAAUGCCUAACAAGAUUAAACAUUA
rnacentral:lncRNA from 10 species